GCCGGUGGAGCGCGCCGUCGAGAUCGUUGAUGACAGCGACACGGGCGAGGCCGGGGAGGAGGUCAUGGUUGAUGCUUUACUGCCUGAAUAUGUUGACCGGGAACAAGAGGGUAAGGUGGAUGUGAGGGCGGAGGCGCAUGCCAUGGUGCAGGAUGUUGUGGAAGCCUAAUUAUUUGAGGAAGUGACAGCCACUGGGAGCAUGGAUCGACAGACUAGACAGCAGACCAAGUCCAUUGAUCGGCUGAUUCAACAACGAAGGAAGAGGCAGAAGGUUAUAAAAACGAGCUUGGGGAUUUACUGACCUGAAUCUUAAACAGGGCCGCCCUGCUGGUGGACUCAAGCUCCAGAUAUGCAAAGUCAUAGUCCUGCAUGUAUGGACAUCUACUGAUACAUACAAGCCGAUCGACGGGCACACACAUUAAUGUGAAACUCAUGCUUCUUGAAACAUCUGCAACACAUAUGUGCACUCUGAAAUGGUAAAAUAUUUGCAUUCUAUAGUACUUCAAGUUUGUGUAGCAUCCCCAUAUUUCCUGCGACCCAGUUCCUUGAACUGGCUAACCCUUAUUGAUGUCAUAUGUCCUGAACUGACUCUCAUGACCAAGUUCCUCAACACGUCCGCCCCUCACAGGCAUGUUGUGCAGUGGCUCAAUUCAUCGCAUUAUGAUUGAACACAUUUGGACACAUUAGGAUUAGGUGAACACUGAACACUGCCAACAUCGGUGAGGGUGGUCAGGAAGAAAAGCCAAAACCACCAGACGAAGGGGCGCUGGUCUCUGGUUCUUUGCGAAGGCCACCGCAGCUCAUCUCCAAGACCUCUGCUGUCGUGUGUCCCCCAAGUUCUUCACCGAAUCUCCUCGCCCGCUGGCUGCUGCUCUUCUUCUCCCUCGAACACAUCUCUGCUUCUGAUCCUCUGCUGCCGCCCCUAACCUGCUGCUUCUGCUCUCUGAUGCUGCCCUCGACUGCUGUACCGCUCCUUCUCCAACGAACUGUUGUUCCUAAUCUUCUCUGAACCCAAACUGUUGCUGCUCCGCUUCCUCUCUGAACCUCAGUCUGCUGCUGCUUCUCUGAUUCAGAGUAAACCAAUAAGCAGGAAUUCUAGGUCGUUUUUCCUUUGGUAACAGUUAUUGUUAGUUCUAAACAAUUUUUCAGGGCCACGAUUAGGCUUCCAAGGGUUCAGAAAAUGAUGAAGAAGCCUUUUAUAUCACACACUAUAUAACAUCAUGGAAUCACAAACUUAUAACAACUAAUUUAAGAGGCUAUGUUCUGGUUUGCUGUAUCUCCACCAGUUUGGGUUGGUCUGAUAGCUAACCUAAACUGAAUAGGGAAUCAGGAGUACUUUAGUUGGUAUUGAAAGUGGUAUGUUUACUUUCAAGCUGAAAAUCUUUGCAAGUUUGGUCCUGGGAUAUUUAAUGCUCCCUUUUCUUAUUAUCUUCCAAUCAUACUAUACAUAUUUAGUUUUUUUUACUUUCUCUUGACAAGUGAACUGAAUUAUUCAUGGAGAAUCUGGUUAUGGUAAAUUUUAUUAUGGAGAUUCAUCCGAUGUAAUAGAAUAGCUUUAUUUGCUAAAAUCAAUACAUAACUAUAGUGUUGUAUGGUUACAACAUGUAGAGUUUUGCAAGUGAGAGUUACAGGAAGUCACUAUUGCAAGAUGGCAUUCAAUUAACACACGUACAAUCGACUGAUCACUGUAUCUUUUUUUGCUAAUUUAAUUUGAAAAAGCUAUUGCAAACAAUUUUUUCUUCUGAAAUCAUAUACUCUGUUUAUUUCUAAUGUGAUUUUGUUACUGUUUGUAUGGUAUUUCUCUGUCUAAAUUUUUUGUUACAUAAAUCAAUCUGCAUAUAUGUGUGCAGGCUGUGAAUCGACAAACAGCCCAGAAAAUAUGGCAUGCUACAUACCCUGUGAGUCUGUGACAGUACAUUAUCAGAAAUACUUAUAUUUUUGAUAAACGCAUCUCUCAUCCAUCAUGACAUAGAUGUGAUGCGUUGCAAGUGUUUUUUUUCGUUCUCUCGCGAUGCGUCGAGUACAUGAUGGAUGGUCUAAUCGUUCAGUGUGUCAUGUGUACUCAGUCACUUGUGUCAUCUUCAGAUUUUAGAAGUCAAAAUUCUAGCUUUAGCUCUAUAUUUAAGAAUUUUUCUACGGCAAAUGCAAGAAAAAUAAAGCGUCCUUCUGCUCUCAUUAUGAGGAAGUUCUGAAAAAUUGAGGCAUUUGUAUGAAUUUCUAUUCUUCAUUAUAAAUUAUCCUUUCAAGUUUAGAAAAUAAAACAUGAUAUACUCUGUAUGUCUCUGUUCUACACUACCACUACCAUUUUAUUGCUGCAAAACGCCAAUGAAAAAGUCAUUACUAUUUUCCACGUUUUUAUACAAUCAAGCUGAAAGAGCAAUAAAAUGAUCUGUUUUUGACAUCGCCUCAGAUCUUACCGAAAGGCAAUGUGCUUAUAAUGUACAUCUAGAUAACAAUAAUGUGUUUGGGAAUGAUUCAUUUGUCGACGGCCAGCCAUGUGGGGUGUGAGGGACGAUACUUAUAUCACUUAGUGGCCAAGGGAAUGACAUCACAAAAGUUUAUCUAACAUCCUAGGAGAAGAUGGACACAUGUUCCUAUAUUGCUUCUCUACAAUUGCUUUCACCAUUUGAUCAUCCAUGUAAUUUAUAGCAUCCAUGCAUAGCUUAUCCAUAUGCUGUUUGUAUUCACUUAUUCCUUUUGUUGACAUGGCUAGGAGGCUACUAUGAAUGUCACAUAGAUUGUAAUUUAACCUCCUUACAAAUAAUUAACGUUCAAACAUUCCAGUGGAGGAAUCUCAAGACUUAGGAAUGGUGCCCCGACAAUUGUGAGCGGCACAAAGGAAGGGCCGCCAUCACCAAGGAAGUACGCUGACAAUUGUGGACUCCAAAGAGAAACAAGCUCUAUAUUUAGUGCAUUGAGUUGCUAUUUUAAAUUCUGAGAGGUGUUGAAUUUUGUCGAUUUCUAAGACAUUAACUCGGAAGAAUUAUUAUUUUGCUUGAUGUAAACUCAGAUUAAUUUGUCAUGUCAUUUGAA